rnacentral:rRNA from 1 species
AUUGAACGCUGGCGGCAGGCCUAACACAUGCAAGUCGAACGGUAACAGGAAGCAGCUUGCUGCUUUGCUGACGAGUGGCGGACGGGUGAGUAAUGUCUGGGAAACUGCCCGAUGGAGGGGGAUAACUACUGGAAGCGGUAGCUAAUACCGCAUAACGUCGCAAGACCAAAGAGGGGGACCUUAGGGCCUCUUGCCAUCGGAUGUGCCCAGAUGGGAUUAGCUAGUAGGUGGGGUAACGGCUCACCUAGGCGACGAUCCCUAGCUGGUCUGAGAGGAUGACCAGCCACACUGGAACUGAGACACGGUCCAGACUCCUACGGGAGGCAGCAGUGGGGAAUAUUGCACAAUGGGCGCAAGCCUGAUGCAGCCAUGCCGCGUGUAUGAAGAAGGCCUUCGGGUUGUAAAGUACUUUCAGCGGGGAGGAAGGGAGUAAAGUUAAUACCUUUGCUCAUUGACGUUACCCGCAGAAGAAGCACCGGCUAACUCCGUG